rnacentral:lncRNA from 1 species
UGAUACAUAUUUGCAUAUUUCUGCAUGGUGAAAGUUGUUUUUUUUAAUUAUUUUUGCAGCCUAGCAGCCUGGAUGUAGUCGUCCUGUCAGAAGUAUGAAAUUUACAGCAGAAGAAUUAAUUUAACACCAAAAAAGCUCUCCCUCAUCUGAACUGUCAUUCAAAAUGCACAAUGAAAAUCACCAAGGAGGAGUUUUCUACCCCACUGUCUACAGGACUCCUGGAAGAAUCUUCUGAAACUUGCGUUCGUAGGUAGGAUAUUGCCAGCCUGGUCAUUUCCCUUCUUGCA